UGAAAAGCUAGUACUUUCUCACAAGAAACAGGGACACCAUUCUCCCACCUUCCGCAUCAGAAAAGCAGCACCUCCUCAUGGUUCCCUGGAGCAAGCUGUCUCGUGUAGGGUCAAACUGGCACUUGCUACUGUGGAGGUAGCUGCUUUAAUCACCUACUGAGUUCCUCUGGAGUGAGAUGUUCUGCACUGCAGCAGGAUCCAGCUCUGGCUACAGAAAUAGGACAUGCAGAGGUUCAAAGGAGAUGGGAUGGAGGAAGGAGAAGAGGACUGACUCGGGCAUGGGCAGAGUUAGAAGAGAGUUUUGCUUGAAAUGUACCCUAUUUGAAGAUGUGGAAGGUUCCUUUCCAUAAUA